rnacentral:rRNA from 1 species
UUAAAUUGAAGAGUUUGAUCAUGGCUCAGAUUGAACGCUGGCGGCAGGCCUAACACAUGCAAGUCGAACGGUAACAGAAAGCAGCUUGCUGCUUUGCUGACGAGUGGCGGACGGGUGAGUAAUGUCUGGGAAACUGCCUGAUGGAGGGGGAUAACUACUGGAAACGGUAGCUAAUACCGCAUAACGUCGCAAGACCAAAGAGGGGGACCUUCGGGCCUCUUGCCAUCGGAUGUGCCCAGAUGGGAUUAGCUUGUUGGUGGGGUAACGGCUCACCAAGGCGACGAUCCCUAGCUGGUCUGAGAGGAUGACCAGCCACACUGGAACUGAGACACGGUCCAGACUCCUACGGGAGGCAGCAGUGGGGAAUAUUGCACAAUGGGCGCAAGCCUGAUGCAGCCAUGCCGCGUGUAUGAAG